AGCUUGCUGGGGGGAUUAGUGGCGAACGGGUGAGUAACACGUGAGUAACCUGCCCUUGACUCUGGGAUAAGCCUGGGAAACUGGGUCUAAUACCGGAUAUGACUCCUCAUCGCAUGGUGGGGGGUGGAAAGCUUUUGUGGUUUUGGAUGGACUCGCGGCCUAUCAGCUUGUUGGUGGGGUAAUGGCCUACCAAGGCGACGACGGGUAGCCGGCCUGAGAGGGUGACCGGCCACACUGGGACUGAGACACGGCCCAGACUCCUACGGGAGGCAGCAGUGGGGAAUAUUGCACAAUGGGCGCAAGCCUGAUGCAGCGACGCCGCGUGAGGGAUGACGGCCUUCGGGUUGUAAACCUCUUUCAGUAGGGAAGAAGCCUUUCGGGGUGACGGUACUUGCAGAAGAAGCGCCGGCUAACUACGUGCCAGCAGCCGCGGUAAUACGUAGGGCGCAAGCGUUAUCCGGAAUUAUUGGGCGUAAAGAGCUCGUAGCGGUUUGUCGCGUCUGCUGUGAAAGACCGGGGCUCAAC
rnacentral:rRNA from 2 species